GAUGAACGCUGGCGGCGUGCCUAAUACAUGCAAGUCGAGCGAACAGACGAGGAGCUUGCUCCUCUAACGUUAGCGGCGGACGGGUGAGUAACACGUGGAUCACCUACCUCUAAUACUGGGAUAACUUCGGGAAACCGGAGCUAAUACCGGAUAAUCUAUUGAACCGCAUGGUUCAAUAGUGAAAGACGGUUUUGCUGUCACUUAUAGAUGGAUCCGCGCCGCAUUAGCUAGUUGGUAAGGUAACGGCUUACCAAGGCAACGAUGCGUAGCCGACCUGAGAGGGUGAUCGGCCACACUGGAACUGAGACACGGUCCAGACUCCUACGGGAGGCAGCAGUAGGGAAUCUUCCGCAAUGGGCGAAAGCCUGACGGAGCAACGCCGCGUGAGUGAUGAAGGUCUUCGGAUCGUAAAACUCUGUUAUUAGGGAAGAACAAAUGUGUAAGUAACUAUGCACGUCUUGACGGUACCUAAUCAGAAAGCCACGGCUAACUACGUG
rnacentral:rRNA from 1 species